rnacentral:rRNA from 12 species
ACUGGCAGCCAUACCAUCCUUUGAGUACAUGAUCCCAUCAGUUCUUGGAAGCUAAGCAGGGCUGGCCCUGGUUAAUACUUGGAUGGGAGACUGCCUUGGAAGACCAAGUACGGCUAGAC